UGGUCAGUACUUGGUUGGGGGAUCUCAAGGGAAAACAA
rnacentral:rRNA from 1 species